ACACAGACUCCAACUGAAGGAAUCAGUGUCAUUUACUGCAGCUCAAAGCAGCAAAGAAUCACAAAAGGUGCAGCUCAGCAAUGCACCCAAUCAUCACCACCAAAGAUUGCAGCAGUGAAUAAGAAAGAUCCAGCAUCAUUUACCCUCAGACUUCACCAUCCCCCAGAUCCACACAGCAGCAGGGGAAGCUGUCCCAGCCAAGGGCUGCAGAGCCACUCCUGGACACUGGGAAUUCCUGCAGGUGCCUCCAGCCACAGAGAAAUGGAUCAUACACCCUGUACAUAUUACCCAGUCACAGAAAGAGUCACUGCUAUAAUUAUUAGCUUUUCCCUGCGUGGAAACACGUUCCUAGGGCAUGCCUGGCUGAACCUCAUCAAGAAUUACAAUUUUAUCGGGCUGAGAUAAAGCUCAGUGGAAAUGCAGCCCUCGGUGAGCGUGGCAGGGAGCUCCAGGACAGGACACCUGGGCACCGGACCAUGAAAGCCUGAGAGGGAACAGCCAGCAAAUUACUGCCUCUGCAGGAAGUCUGGAAUGUUUCAUUCUAUUUCUUUCACAUAUUAAUGUUGCAUUGACAGCUGCUCAAGCUUAAAACAUCUUUAACUGAAAGGUUAAAUGAGAGACAUGGGAAGAUCCCAAAGAAAAGGUUCAUCUCUCUUUAUAGUUAUGUCAUAUGGAUUUGUGUUACCCAGUGGCAAGUCUUUCUAGAUGCAAUUUAUUCACAGUGAGUACUUGAAGCUUCUUGUAUCCCUUACUUCCUUUUAUUUGUGCAAGGCUGUUCAAUACAACAUCUGCAUCCAUGCUUCCUAAUAGCUUCAUCUGUGGAUCUCUGUAAGUGGGGUUUUUUUGCAUUGUAAGAUGUACACAAAAGGUUUGUUGUUGAUUACACAUAUAAUUUCUUACAAGUCAACACUGCUGUUGUAAAGAGGUUCUAUAGCAAAACAUAUUUUGAACUGUUUUUUUCAGGCACCAACUUUCCUUUCAGUUUAAGACAUGGUUUUAAUUAUAAAUAAAAUUAAAUUAAAUUUUGAUUAUAAUGUAUAAAA